UACGAAGGGGGCUAGCGUUGCUCGGAAUCACUGGGCGUAAAGGGUGCGUAGGCGGGUCUUUAAGUCAGGGGUGAAAUCCUGGAGCUCAACUCCAGAACUGCCUUUGAUACUGAAGAUCUUGAGUUCGGGAGGAGGUGAGUGGAACUGCGAGUGUAGAGGUGAAAUUCGUAGAUAUUCGCAAGAACACCAGUGGCGAAGGCGGCUCUCUGGACCGAGACUGACGCUGAGGCGCGAAAGCGUGGGGAGCGAACAGG
rnacentral:rRNA from 1 species